GACGAACGCUGGCGGCGUGCUUAACACAUGCAAGUCGAGCGGUAAGGCCCUUUCGGGGGUACACGAGCGGCGAACGGGUGAGUAACACGUGGGUGACCUGCCCUUAGCUCUGGGAUAAGCCUGGGGAAACUGGGUCUAAUACCGGAUAUGACUCCAUGACGCAUGUUGUGGGGUGGAAAGCCUUGUGCGGCUAGGGAUGGGCCCGCGGCCUAUCAGCUUGUUGGUGGGGUGAUGGCCACCAAGGCGACGACGGGUAGCCGGCCUGAGAGGGCGACCGGCCACACUGGGACUGAGACACGGCCCAGACUCCUACGGGAGGCAGCAGUGGGGAAUCUUGCGCAAUGGGCGAAAGCCUGACGCAGCGACGCCGCGUGGGGAUGACGGCCUCGG
rnacentral:rRNA from 1 species